UACAGAGGAGCCAAGCGUUGUCCGGAUUGACUGGGCGUAAAGCGCACGCAGGCGGAUGCGCGCGUGGGGUGUGAAAUCUGGCCGCUUAACGGCCAGGCGCCAUCCCAUACGGCGCGUCUGGAGUGAUGCAGAGGUCGAUGGAAUUGCCGGUGUAGCGGUGAAAUGCGUAGAGAUGGGGGAGAACACUCGUGGCGAAGGCGGCCAGCUAGACCAGUUCUGACACUGAGGCGCGACAGCGUGGGGAGCAAACAGG
rnacentral:rRNA from 1 species